GACGAACGCUGGCGGCGUGCCUAAUACAUGCAAGUCGAACGCAGUGGGGACGGGUGAGUAACACGUGGGUAACCUCCCAUCAGAGGGGAUAACACUUGGAAACAGGUGCUAAACCGAUACUGAUGGAUGGACCCGCGGUGCAUUGGCUAGUUGGUGAGGUAACGGCUCACCAAGGCCACGAUGCAUAGCCGACCGGAGAGGGUGAUAGGCCACACUGGGACGGUGACACGGCCCAGAGUCCUACGGGAGGCAGCGGUAGGGAAUCUGCGGCGAUGGACGAGAGUCGGACCGAGCAACGGCGCGGGAGUGCAGAUGGUUUUCGGAUCGUAAAACUCUGUUGUUAGGGAAGCGGUAUCUAACCAGAAAGCCACGGCUAACUACGUGCCAGCAGCCGCGGUAAUUC
rnacentral:rRNA from 1 species